rnacentral:rRNA from 1 species
UACGGAGGGUGCGAGCGUUGUCCGGAAUCACUGGGCGUAAAGGGCGCGUAGGCGGCCUGAUAAGUAGGGGGUGAAAUCCUGAGGCUUAACCUCAGGGCUGCCUUCUAAACUGUCGGCUCGAGCACAGUAGAGGCAGGUGGAAUUCCCGGUGUAGCGGUGGAAUGCGUAGAGAUCGGAAGAACAUCAGUGGCGAAGGCGGCCUGCUGGGCUGUUGCUGGACGCUGAGGCGCGACA